rnacentral:rRNA from 2 species
GUUAUCGUUUAUUUGAUAGUACCUUACUACUUGGAUAACCGUGGUAAUUCUAGAGCUAAUACAUGCUAAAAACCCCAACUUCGGGAGGGGUGUAUUUAUUAGAUAAAAAACCAACGCCCUUCGGGGCUUCUUGGUGAUUCAUGAUAACUUUACGGAUCGCAUGGCCUUGCGCCGGCGACGGUUCAUUCAAAUUUCUGCCCUAUCAACUUUCGAUGGUAAGGUAUUGGCUUACCAUGGUUUCAACGGGUAACGGGGAAUUAGGGUUCGAUUCCGGAGAGGGAGCCUGAGAAACGGCUACCACAUCCAAGGAAGGCAGCAGGCGCGCAAAUUACCCAAUCCCGACACGGGGAGGUAGUGACAAUAAAUACUGAUACAGGGCUCUUUUGGGUCUUGUAAUUGGAAUGAGUACAAUUUAAACCUCUUAACGAGGAACAAUUGUAGGGCAAGUCUGGUGCCAGCAGCCGCGGUAAUUCCAGCUCCAAUAGCGUAUAUUAAAGUUGUUGCAGUUAAAAAGCUCGUAGUUGAAACUUGGGUCUGGCUGGCAGGUCCGCCUCACCGCGUGUACUUGUCCGGCCGGGCCUUCCUUCUGGAGAACCUCAUGCCCUUCACUGGGCGUGUUGGGGACCAGGACUUUUACUUUGAAAAAUUAGAGUGUUCAAAGCAGGCCUUUGCUCGAAUACGUUAGCAUGGAAUAAUAGAAUAGGACGUGCGGUCCUAUUUUGUUGGUUCUAGGACCGCCGUAAUGAUUAUAGGGACAGCCGGGGGCAUCAGUAUUCAAUUGGCAGAGGUGAAAUCUUGGAUUAUUGACGACUACUA